AUCCUUUUGUAGUUUAUAAAUGUGAUUAUUGGGUGUUUACACUCUUGUGUAAGAUGUGCCUCCCUCAAAUCUUGUUAUGACAUCAGCACAUUAUCUAUAUGACA